UACGUAGGGACCAAGCGUUGUCCGGAAUCAUUGGGCGUAAAGAGCGUGUAGGCGGCUUGUUAAGUCUUGCGUGAAAUCUCGGGGCUCAACCCCGAGCGGUCGUGAGAAACUGGCAGGCUAGAGUGCGGGAGAGGAGAGUGGAAUUCCUGGUGUAGCGGUGAAAUGCGCAGAUAUCAGGAAGAACACCCGUGGCGAAGGCGCUCUCUGGAACGCAACUGACGCUGAGACGCGAAAGCGUGGGGGAGCAAACAGG
rnacentral:rRNA from 1 species